AAACAGAGUAUGCUGUCAAUGUUGUCAAGCAUAUUUUUGAUAGACAUGUUGUCUUUCAAUACAACUGCACAAAUACAAUUCCUGAGCAGCUACUAGAAAAUGUCAAUGUUAUUGUGGAUGCUUCAGAAGCAGAGGAAUUCGCGGAAGUAGUGUCCAAGCCGCUCAGAUCUCUUCCUUACAAUUCACCUGGGCAAACCUUUGUGGCAUUUGAGAAGCCAGAUGGAG
rnacentral:misc_RNA from 1 species